rnacentral:lncRNA from 1 species
AUUCCCUGGGGCGGCGUGGAAGGGAGGCAGCACCUCCAGGCGACAAGUAGAGCUGGGCCCUGGCGGGCUGCCACGGGGGUGUCUGGCAGUCUCUCCUGGGUCUAGGGCUGUUCCUCUGAGGUCACGAGGUGGUCCUUCGGGUGUGUCUGGGGUAAGCCCCUCUAGAAUCUGGGGGCGGCCUCCCGGGGGCCAUACUGCAUCACGUAGUGGAGGUAAGCAGAAGCCCGUUGGGGAGGGCCCGCGGUGCUUCUGGUUUGAAGAUCUCCAGGAAGAGUGAUUUUAAAAAAUAGCCUGACUGACGUGUAAAGAACCCUAUCAAGUACCGUUUGCUGAGUCAUGAGUGCCUGUUCAAGUUCAAGCCUGAGAACGGAGGGAAGGGGUGGGUGAAAAAGGACUCGCCAACGCCGCGGCGCCUCUAAGCUGUUGGGAAGAUAAAACCAGCACGUGUAAUGUAAUACAUGACAAUGGAAGAUUCUACGUAAUUAAGGGUUAACUCUGAAAUCAGAAGACAAGUUUUCCAAGACUUGGGAAGGUGGAGAGAUCAGAGAUCAGUGAGAGAACAAAGAAUCGGAUGGAGUUUGGCUCUUGUCGCCCAGGCUGGAGUGCAAUGGUGCGAUCUCAGCUCACCGCAACCUCCACCUUCCGGGUUCACGUGAUUCUCCUGCUUCAGCCUCCCAAGUAGCUGGGAUUACAGGUGCCCACCAUCUCGCCCGGCUAAUUUUUUAUUUUUAGUAGAAACGGCAGUUUCACUAUGUUGGUCAGGCUGGUCUCGAACUCCCAACCUCAGGUGAUCCGCCUGCCUCGGCCUCCCAAAGUGCUGGGAUUACAGGCGUGAGCCACGGCGCCCAGCCUGAUUAUGGUCGUUUAAUCAGCCCUGCAAUCCCCACUCCAUAAUGCCACCCUGCCAAGCUUCCUGAGCUGCUAUCUUUAAUGUUAGAUGCUGGGGCAGGCAGAAUAGUGCCCCUCAGAUAGUCAUGUCCAACUCCCCAGGCCCUGCCAAUGUGUUACCUUUCAUGGCAAAGGGGAAUCAGGGUUGUAGAUGGAACUGAUAUUGCUGUGGAAUAACAAGAAAGAUAUUUGGUCGUUGUCCCUGGUUUCUGGCACAAAGCUCUAAACCCUUGGAAUUUUGAGCAAUAGAGUGUUAAGAGCCUCUUUUGUUUUAGUGAGGCAACUCUUGUACUUAGCUUCAGGGUGGGAGCUGGCUGCCAGAAAGACCAAGCUUGAUUAGAAGAUCAGCAUUUCCUGCACCCCCUCCCCCAACCUCCAGGGAAGGGAGAGUGGCUGGAGAUUGAGCUGAUCACCAGUGGCCACAGUCAAACCUAUGGACUGAAGCCUCCAUAGAAGCCCCUAAAUGAUGGGGUUCAGGGAGCUUCCAAGUUGGCAAACACAUCCUCAUCCCAGAGGGUGGUGCACCCCAUCUUGACUGAGACAGUGGCUUCUGCACUCGGGACUUACCUUGUCCUGGGUACUUCUUCAUCUGGUUGUUCAUUUGUACUCUAUAAUAAACGGUAAGAGUAAGCACAGCUUUUCCUGAGUUCUGUGAGUCAUUCUAGCAAAUUAUUUAACCUUGGGGUAAUGAGGUAGUUGAAACCUCUUUGUAGGAACUUUCCUUUGUAGGUCAAUCAGCAGAAGUUAGGCUAACCUGGGAACCCAGUCCUUUCUUUGGUGUCUAAGGACAGUCUUGUGUGACUGUGGAGUCACACAAUAACUCCAGGUAGUGUCAGAAAGGAAUUGAAUUGUAGGACACCAAGCUGGCAUCAGAGAGUUGGAGAAGUGGUGUUGGAAAAGACACGGUUGAUGUCAAGAGGAAGAAAAAACCCUCAGUUGUUUUUUUUUUCUUUUUGAGAUGGAGUUUCACUCUUGUUUCCCAGGCUGGAGUGCAAUGGCACGAUUUCAGCUCUCUGCAACCUCUGUCCCC